ACACCAUUAUCUCGACAUAUUUUCCAAAUAUGAGCAAUAAAAUAUAACCUGAUCUAGAGGGUUGGAUCUGUCAAAGGAUUACAACAACACCCAUGGAAACAAACAUACAAAAGAAUAACAAGUAACAGAAAUGCCAGCCAAAUGUGACAGCCUAUUGAAUCUGAACCCUUAAGUUGUCUCUCAACUUAAAAUUUGCUAAUCUCUAAGCACGCCAUCAAACUACAAAUGCCUUAUGUGAGCACUCCAGAUGGCUUCUUUUGCAAGUUUGAGAGAAAUAGAGACAUCUUCAAACCACUGAAAUGCAUAUCUUUAAAAGGAGAAACUACUAAUAACACCAAGGCUUCUUUUUUUCCAAUUAUGCUGAGCAGCAACCAACUUUUUUCAUAGCUGAUACAUCAUCUUUGCCAAUAUUAAUAGUCUGACCCUUAGGCAAGGCUGCUGGGUCAUCCCCAACAUCAAGAGCCUUCCGGCUGACCACACGAUAGAUCUGAGUUAGUACUUCAGUGAAGGCAUUUUCAACAUUCAAGGACUCUAGGGCAGAGGUUUCCAUAAAGAAAGUGUUUUCUCUCUCAGCAAAUGCCUUGGCAUCCUCAGUUGUAACUGCACGCAAGUGCCUCAAAUCAGCCUUGUUUCCCACAAGCAUGAUAACAAUGUUGGAAUCAGUAUGAUCUCUAAGCUCCUUCAACCAUCUCUCCACAUUCUCAAAGGUGACAUGUCGAGUGACAUCAUAGACAAGCAAGGCACCAACAGCUCCUCUGUAGUAUGCACUAGUGAUCGCACGAUAUCUUUCCUGGCCAGCAGUAUCCCAAAUCUGGGCCUUGACGACCUUGUCAUCGACAUGGAUGCUGCGGGUGGCGAACUCAACACCGAUGGUGGAUUUAGAUUCGAGGCUGAAUUCAUUUCUUGUGAAUCUUGACAAAAGAUUGGAUUUUCCAACCCCAGAGUCACCUAUUAACACCACCUUGAACAAGUAGUCGUAGUCAUCAUCUGCCCUGUAAGCGCCCAUUAACCCAAAUUCCCUCUCUUUCUCCGCGUUUUAAAUAAAAGGGAUUGAAGGGCUGUUGGAAAUGAAGAUCAAACGAAAUGGGUUGUCCUGAUUUUCGAUAUGUAAGAUGUGAAAUGUGGGUUUUUGAAGGCGAAGAUUAAAAACGAAAUGUGUAGUCUCAGUUUCUGGAUACGGAAG
rnacentral:misc_RNA from 1 species